ACAUACAGUUAAGAAUGUUAAAAUAUUUUUAUUAUAACUAUAAUAAGAGGAACUUAUGUGAGAAGUACAACAUCAAUAACAGUACCAUGGUUGCAAUUCUGAAGGGUCAAAUUUACAAUAUAGCCAUCUAAAAACUUCAAAUUCUUGUAGGAAAUUAAAAUUUAUUUAUGGAUUUUGUUAUUUGAUUUUCCAUCCUAUUAUAAAAUCAAGAUUUUUCAAUGAAAAAAUAAUAAUUUGAACCCUUAGAAUCGGCACCGUUUUUAACGCCAUCUAUUGCUCAAAAACAAUACUAAUCUGUGCACCAAAAUCUCGUAUUACUGGCGAUGCAAGGACCAAGCGCUAGAGGGCACAUUCAGGCGAUUCCGCCGUCGGCCGUGAGAUGGCAGUGGCAUAGCUACCGCGGAGAAAGUAUUCAAGUUGAGUUAACGCUGUAGCAACCCUUCGUAAGAUGGCGUUAGUUGUCUCUAAGUAUAAUUUUAAUCAUUUCUUUUUAGGACCGUAUUAUAAAAUAAAAAUAUGAUUUUUUAUCUGUCUUAGAUUAAUGUCUUCUGCUUACUAGCUAAGCUCGAAUUAAGUUUUUGUUCAUGAAUAAUUGUUAGUCUAUUAAAUAACUAGAUUAACAUAAUAGUUUAUGCUCAGGUAGAAGAGGUUUUAUUAUUGUUCUCUAGAGGAUUUUUAGAUAUUCUACUUACAGUCUAGCUACUUAGUUAAUGAUGAAGCAUUGCAACAAGAGCGAUUAAAAUACAUGUACAGACGUACUCACAUUUCAACGCCUGUACGGAAUACCUAGUCACAACUUUUUCGUUUUAUUAAAAAAAACACCUUCUACUUCAAAAGCAGCCCAGGGGAAGCUUAAUUUUAAUGCUCCAUAUAUGCGCUGGGCUCGUAAAAUUUUUCGCAUAAUUUUGCAAAGCACAUUCUGUUCGGGUGCCGCUACAUAAGUGCCGAAUUAAAUCGUUUUGGCACGGAAUACGCUUUUAAAAAUAUGUUAAAAGAUUGCAGGCGGUCGCGUGGCCUACUGCCUGGGGUCCAUUGUCCACGGGCAUUAUCCUGCUAAUUUAUCGUGCGAGCCUCUGUCCUCAUAUUGCUCGCUAUCGGUUCAUUAAUAAACGAUAAGCUGUUACCGCCAGCAAUACAUUAGCCGCGACCCGCAGACUGCAUCGAUAUUCGUGUCCAGGAGUCUCGAAUGCGAAUGGUCCCACCGGUUCGGCGCAUUUAAACGUUGCAGCCGACUCUGCUGAACUCCUAGAUGGAAUAAAAUUCUAAAAAUGAAGCUGACAUUUCUCUUAAUAAAGCCGUGUAGCGUAAAUUUAUCGAAGGCGGGCGGCGGCUCCGCCCCGGCCCCACGCCUGUUCCGGAUAUUCUACGUUACGAAUGGCUUUAUUAAGACUAAAGUAUUACAAUUUCCGUGCAACUAUUGCGACUGUUGGAAUUGCUAAUGCGUCGAAGAAGCACGGUGACUCGCUUGCUGCUUUAUGACUGGCUGAACUGCAGUUUCGCGCCGCGCUGCAGAUGCCGGUUAUUAUGCUCCAUGCUAAUUCUGACCGCAGCCGCGCGUAUCACGGCUGGAACGACCGCCUAGCUUCAUAUUCAACGCACACCUUAUCUCGCUAUAAAGAAAGAGUACCCAAUUGUAGAGUAACUCAUUCUGGGGGCCGAUUCAGAUAACUCGUCGGCAAAGGGGUUGCUUCUUCGGUCGCAAAUUACUAUGAUUUAAUAUUGCUCAGUUAUCUGCGGGUCGGUAAUUUGUAAGCGUUUCUCGGGCGGCCCCGCGUUGGGCGCCAUUGUUGCUCCGCCUUUUGUUCGUCGCCUACUCUCCGUGAUAACAUCUUGAGUUAUUAUGAUUAGGAUUCUUCGGAGAGUGACGACUCGCUAAUUCCUUCAUUAGGUUAGUUCUGCAACAUUUCUCUCAAUCUGCGCCUUUUAUCCGUGUGUGUUCUUAAUCUGUCGCCCUAUUUUCCGUCGACCCGUGCUGUUGUCGGGUUUAUGGCGGCAAAUCGCCAGGCAUUACACGGAGUUCCGGAAACAAAUUUGAGUAAAUAACGCACUUAAGCACUGUGGCGACCCACUAGAUUAAUAAACGUCACCUCGACUUAUAAAGUCAAUGGAGUUAAUACAUCAGACGUCACGGCAGGCCACGCCAUGCCCCAACUUUCAUUUCAUAUAGUGCUCUCAAAUUAAUCGAUAUAUACGUGUGGCUUUUUCAAUUAAUGAAAACGUUCAAUUGUCAAUGUGUAUGUAGAGUUGCUGGAUUGUUAUCUAUCCAUCUUGGUUGGAAUAAUGGAUUUCCAUCUAGUGAAUGGUUGGCUUUUGACUCCUCGGAUACGAUAAGGAUCCAAUCCUGCAUGCCUUUCCCGUCCCUGAAGAUCACCCACAUUCCUGAAAUAACCCUUAAAGCUUAAUGUAUUUAUUAUACCUAGUAGAAACGCAAUACCUACAAAGCAAUUAUAAAUACACUAUUGAUGUAAAA